rnacentral:snoRNA from 10 species
UGAUGACGUUCCUCUCAUUGCCUAGAGCAUUGGCACUGGGAUUUUAGUUCAUCAUACAUCAAACUUGAUUUUCUUCACUCAGAGAAUAUUGGGAUAAUGGGAUUAUCUGUGUAUUCUCUGAAAUUUGCGGAAUCAAACACUG